GACGAACGCUGGCGGCGUGCCUAAUACAUGCAAGUCGAGCGGAUUAGGGUGAAAGCUUGCUUUCACCUUAGUUAGCGGCGGACGGGUGAGUAACACGUAGGCAACCUGCCUGCAAGACUGGGAUAACAUUCGGAAACGAAUGCUAAUACCGGAUACGCAGUUUUCUCGCAUGAGAGAACUGGGAAAGACGGCGCAAGCUGUCACUUGCAGAUGGGCCUGCGGUGCAUUAGCUAGUUGGUGGGGUAACGGCUCACCAAGGCGACGAUGCAUAGCCGACCUGAGAGGGUGAUCGGCCACACUGGGACUGAGACACGGCCCAGACUCCUACGGGAGGCAGCAGUAGGGAAUCUUCCGCAAUGGACGAAAGUCUGACGGAGCAACGCCGCGUGAGUGAUGAAGGUUCUCGGAUCGUAAAGCUCUGUUGCCAGGGAAGAACAGCCAGGCGAGUAACUGCGCUUGGAAUGACGGUACCUGAGAAGAAAGCCCCGGCUAACUACGUGCCAGCCGCCGCAGUAAAAC
rnacentral:rRNA from 1 species